GACAAUUACAGUUUCCAUUAAACACAAUGCAGUUCACAUUAUAACCCAUUACAAAUAUUCAAUGAGGGUUUCUAUUGUUUUUUUCUUCGGCAAGGCAAUUCAGCUAGCUAUGAGAUUUAUCAUACCGGAGGGGAAGAAAAUAAAUACGAACCAAACACCUGACUACCGUCGCGUCCGUAUUUCAUACGUGUGCGAGUGGCUAGUGAGCUUACAUGGGAAUAUUUCUAUGAUGGCGCUAUUUAAUGAUCUCACCGUUGCAGUCUCAGACCUGCUUUUAACGUUGUAAUAAAAUGAGAUAAUUAGAAAAUAAUACAGAGAGUGAUACUGAACUACAUAAUGCACUUCUUGUGAUUCUCACGGUAAAAAUGCUGCGCAAAAUCCAGUCAGCACUUAAACAGUCAGCCAGCUAGAUUAUUCAACAUUAGCAUACCAUCAAGCGAUUUAUUAUGUGAGGUAUUUUAUAAUUAAUUUACACCAGAAAACCAUUAAGCUACACCAAAUAUCAGAAUGAACAGAAGCCCAGGAGAGUUCGUUAACCUUGGUAAGUAAAUUAAAUGAUUAUAGCUACAACAUCGCUGAAAACCACUGGCUGGUCAAAAUUGUGCAAGUGUCUUGCGUUCGAUUCGGUCAAACUUAAGCAACACCUACGAAGAACAAACGGACAGGAAUGGCUAGUUUUAGACAGGAAUGAUCGUUAUUUUUAGACCUCACCUGGUUUGUUGUUGGCGGCCUGAUGAAUGGCGGCGAUUAUUUAAACAAAACGGCGUCGCAUCGAUCCACAGAACUUUCCAGAAGGUGAGUGGUGUAGGCGAGGGGCGGAGUUUACUAGCUGCUGCUGCACUACGCACGACGUUGUCCAAUAUGGAAACGUUUCAGUGCCGCUAAAGUAACGGGAAAAGCCUUUUCAAAGGGUUUUUGUUUAUGGGGGAAAGAGGAAUAAAAAUAUUUCCCCGCAGUAAUGUCGGAUUCUGGAUUCGAGAACUGACGGUCAUUCAGGUUUAUAUUAAUGUGCUCUUUCUAAUAUGUUAUCGUUUCUAUAGUAACAGCUCGUGGACAGGAACUCGUAAGACGGACGCUCCUCAUCGACAGACUUUACAUAAUACUGAAUAUGAUGUUUAACAUGUAUGGAAGGAGUCUCCAGUGUCAGUACUUUGUAAGAAUCAGAAGUAAAGCUGUGACUCAGUUCUCUGACAUCUUCAGGACAUGAAUCCACACCACCAGUAAUAAAACACCUUAUUCUGAGAGGGGGGGGGGGGGGGGGGGGGGAGAGCCCGGUGAGGUGAAGGCCGUUCAUAGCUGUUAAAAUACCUGAGGACAGAAACUAACCUGUUUUGCCAAUGUUAAAUGUAACUAUAAAGGGAUAAAAAAUGUAUGAUGUCAUAAUGAAUAAUAACUGAUCACAUAUACAUAUGCACAGUGAAAUUCUUCUUUCUUCACAUACCCCAGCAUGUCAGGAUCAGCAGGGGCAGCCAUGAUACAGCGCCCCCUGGUGCAGAGAGGGUUAAGGGCCUUGCUCAAGGGCCCAACAGUGGCUUGAACCCCCGCCCUUCCGAUCAGUUUCCCAGAGCCUUAACCGCCGAGCCAGCCCUGCUCCAUUCUUUAACGGAGAGGAUUAAGACACUCGGAGACGGCCGGUUAUAGGUCUCUUGCUAAUGUGAAUGAAGGUUUGCACACAUAACAUCCAGUUUUAUGGAGAUUUAACAGGAAGACUGUCUUCCAUUACAAAAGGAGAGAACACGAAUUCCGAAAUGAUCCACCAGAAGCAAUAAAACCACGAAACCGUGAACGUUUAAAUAGAAAUUUGUAUUUACAGCAAUAUUAACAUCGAGAAACAUGAUAAAUGCACUAGUAAUUUACAUCCUCACGCGGAUGACAGGCGUGUAUCACCCCCUGGUCACGAUUUAAAAAUCUAUUUCACGUUCUAUCUGAACAGAGAUUGCACACAGAUACUUUAACUUCGUGUAGUUCACCUUUUUUUUUUUUUUUUUUUUUUUUUUUUUUUUUUAAAGAACAAGUUCUGAAGGGAAUUUGAUUUUUUUCGAUUAAUCGGCAGAGCUCGUUACCAACAAAUAAAACCCCAGAUCCGACCAGAUUACCAGACCAGAUCUAAAACGAACAAAAAAAAAACAACCCGACAAAAUAAAAGCACUGAAUACUAUUAAGAGUCUCGCGUAUCCUCAUCGAACAUUUACAGCAUCAAGUCGACUUCACGGCCCACGAAAUAAAAAUAAUAAACCCAAAUACAUUAAUAUAAUGUUAAUUAAAUCGAUACGUGAUUCACACAGCUACGUCAGAGACAUAAGAUGACCCGGGGGGAAAGAAAUCUUUGGGGAGAAAAGUUUGAAAUGUAAAUGAACGAGCAGUAAUCUGGCCAUACGCGAGUAAAAAUAAUUUACACAAGAACAGGAAUAAUAAUUAUUAUCAUAAUCAAUGAUGAGCACAAAAUAACACAAACAAUUAGCAAAACUUAAGAAAUAUAAGAAUAUAUAAAAAAUCGAUCCGUUAACGUUAUGCGAAACUGGUAUAAAUUAUGACGUUAUAAACCAUCCCUUGAAAUAUGCUACAAGAUUCUGAAAACGAGUGAAAAUUAUUUAUAUUUAUACGUAUUUAUAUGUCGUUUUAAAUAUUCCAGCAAACCAAAUAACGAAGCGGUCGUAUUUUUAGACGGGUUUAGAUGACAUUUGCUCUCUGUGUGUGUGUGUGUGUGUGUGUGUGUGUGUGUGUGUGUGUGUGUGUGUGUGUGUGUGUAAAAUAAUGAAUUUUCGCAUGGUUCCACUCUGAAUACGUUGAAAAUAAACCGAACAGAACAGGAGGAGAUGAAACCUCACAGCUCCACGUUUCCAGUCUUACUACAGAGCGAAUCUGAGAGUGGGGUGAAGAGACGAAACGAAAACAACGGGGGGAUGGAUGAGCUGGCCUUACACGAGUACGAAUAAUUUACAUAAAAUAGACAGUUUACGUAAAAAUAUACCAAUACGAAUUCUUUCAUGUUACGCUAAACUGGUAUAAAUCACGGCAUUACGAACCAUCCCUCAAAGUCCGCGACGAUGUUUUCAAAACGUGGCCGGCUCCACGGAUUUUCAGGGGCGAACACUCCAUUAGUAUCGGGGUGGGGGGUGGGGGGUGGGGGGGCGAUCACCACCCCAUCGAUUCCCACCUUAAAAUAAUUACAUUUAAGAUAACAGAGGGAGAUAUUGGAGUUUUUAUGUCGUACUAAAACCUUCACAGGUCUAAUUGAGUCUGAAACACAGGACCGUUUAACACGGGAAACGGUUCAUAAACGCAAAGACGCGCCUCCGAUCGAUCCCGUGCCAUCUUUACAAUAUACACACUCUGAUUCGUCAGAGGGUUCGUCGGAGGGUUCGUCAGAGGGUUCGUCAGAGGGUUCGUCGGAGGGUUCGUCGGAGGGUUCGUCGGAGGGUUCGUCGGAGGGUUCGUCAGAGGGUUCGUCGGAGGGUUCGUCGGAGGGUUCGUCGGAGGGUUCGUCGGAGGGUUCGUCAGAGGGUUCGUCAGUCCGUGUUUCGCCAUGUACGAGUGUGAGGAAGAAAAUAUGUUCUCGAAAAAAAAAGUGCUUUUGUUCAAAGAAUAAAAAAAAGUGGUGGCUUUUCAGUGAAGAGAUUACUAUUAAUAAAAUAAAAUAAAAUAAAGUAAAAUAGAGAAAUAAUGAUGAAAAAAAAGAGACCCCCGCACCCUGCUGGAACAAUCGGACGUACCGAUCUGUAACGCGGAACAGACGCGAUUUAAACACGGAGCCUGACGAAGCCUGUUGUGCAAAACCUGUGAGCUACAAAAGCAGAUAUAAAAGAUGUGCGCUGUAUUUACAGAUUAUCAUCACGGACGGAAGAGGAGGGAGAACACAGGAGAAAUGUGAACGCCAGCUCGAGAUUUCUAAUACUGCAACCUUCACGUCGACAAGUCGAAGAAUCCGGCGAGACGAGAUUUAUUGCUUCAAUCUGCAGAAAACAGAUCGUCUGUGCUUGCUGCUUUCAGGUUUCAUGAUCGUCCCGCUCCGGCGGGGAACGGCGAGCAGCUCCGUUUCCUGUGCGUCGCUUCUCCGAUAAGGCUAAAAUGAGCGAGAGAAAAAAAUAUAUUGCAACACUCCUAACGCCGUGAAACAGCUCUGACUUUCCGUUAAAGUGCAAUCACAGCUUCCCCUCUCUUCCUCUCUCUUCCUCUCUCUCUUCCUCUCUCUCUUCCCCUCUCUCUCUUCCUCUCUCUCUUCCUCUCUCUUCCUCUCUCUCUUCCCCUCUCUCUCUUCCUCUCUCUCUUCCUCUCUCUCUUCCUCUCUCUCUUCCUCUCUCUUCCUCUCUCUCUUCCCUCUCUCUCUUCCUCUCUCUCUUCCUCUCUCUUCCUCUCUCUCUCUUCCUCUCUCUUCCUCUCUCUCUUCCUCUCUCUCUCUCGUACCUUUAACAGGACAGAAGGUGAUCUUACAUCCAGAUGGUCAACACGGCAUGAUAUACAUUCGCAAAAAUGUGUGUGUGUGUGUGUGUGUGUGUGUGUGUGUGUGUCCUUGUUUGUUCAGUUUUGAUCUUUCAGUGAGAAACAGGAUGAAGAAAGCUCACGAAGAAACAGAGAAAGUCUCUCAGGACAAAGACAGAUAUAGAGGACGUAGAUGAAUCCAGUACAUGUGUGUGUGUAUCAUGUUUUGUUAGCUUCACAGUGUCGCCAUGGUGACGGCCGUCCCUCCAUCCUCUUCAUAAAUAUUUCUGCGAGACAGAAAGACACGCUUAAAAUUAAGUAAUAUUAAUAAAUAUAAACAAUAAAACAAUAACAAUUAUUUUAAAAAAUGAACUUUUAUCUAUAGAGCACGUUUCACGGGUUAAACGUGCAGUUCGGUGUGCUCGAUAAAGCGGGAGAAAGGAGAAACCAAAAACGUCACAGGAAUAAAGUAAUAAAAUAAUUCAUAGUAAAAAUAAUAAACCGUAACUUUAAAAUAAACAAAUAAUCAAAAGAUAAAAUAGUAAUAGCAAAUUAGUUAAAGUAGGGAAUUAUAGCUACAGGGGGGGGGGGGGGGGGACCCCUUCAAAUUUAAUACAGAUCAAAAUAAAUAAACAAAUAAACAAAUCAAUCAAUCAAUCAAUAACUGCUCAUAAUAUGUCUAAGAACACAACAAAUAAAACUCGAGAAAAGCUAAAGUUCAAAAAUAAAUCACAUCAUAAAAUAGUAAUAAUUUGGUCAAAGGGA
ensembl:lncRNA